rnacentral:rRNA from 1 species
GAAUAUUGGACAAUGGGCGCAAGCCUGAUCCAGCCAUGCCGCGUGAGUGAUGAAGGCCCUAGGGUUGUAAAGCUCUUUCGCCAGGGACGAUAAUGACGGUACCUGGAUAAGAAGCCCCGGCUAACUUCGUGCCAGCAGCCGCGGUAAUACGAAGGGGGCUAGCGUUGUUCGGAAUCACUGGGCGUAAAGCGCACGCAGGCGGGUCGCUAAGUCAGGGGUGAAAUCCCGAGGCUCAACCUCGGAACUGCCUUUGAUACUGGCGACCUUGAGUCCGGGAGAGGUGAGUGGAACUCCGAGUGUAGAGGUGAAAUUCGUAGAUAUUCGGAAGAACACCAGUGGCGAAGGCGGCUCACUGGCCCGGUACUGACGCUGAGGUGCGAAAGCGUGGGGAGCAAACAGG